rnacentral:lncRNA from 1 species
UAGCAGAUUGUUAUAAAUGGUAAAUUUUUGUGAUCAACUUAUUUUCUAGUGUACCAAUUUUUUUUUUUUAUGUUUGACUUAUUUUCUUACGACAGAGUUAUAUAUCCGACUUAAAAUUGUUGGUAGAUUUUUUAUUUAUGUAGUGGCAGACUUUUAAGUUUAUGUUGUGACAGAUUUAUUGACAAAAAUUUGGGUUUAUGUAAACCAAACUUAAUUUAAUAUUUAAUUUCGACCCGAUUUACAUUAAUUUCGAAGCUGGUUUAUUUUUAGGUUUAUUAAAAUCAGAAUUAGG